UUCCUGUAUUUGUGUCGCGCCUUUACUUUGUUCCUAUUCGCAGGGAACCCCCAUUUUAUCGCUAUUAUAAAUAUCCACUAACCUUACGACAUCGCCCUUUUUUAGUUUAAAUUGUACGAGUUUUCCAAGAUAUUUGCCCAAGAUAACCCUCAUCAUAUUGCACAUUUGCCCACGAUAUCCCUCAAGGUAUAUUGUACAUUUGCCCAAGAUAUCCCUCAAGGUAUAUUGCACAUUUGCCCAAGAUAUUCCUGAUGGUAUUGAACAUAUUCCCCAAGAUAUCCACCAAGAGAAUGCACAUUUGCCCAAGAUAUCCACCAUGACUCUUCAACGAUGUGGCAAGGUUGGGGUAAUUUCACAUUUGGUAUUGAAAAAAGGUUUGGGGUCCGAUCCUGAGGGGUCUAGUGCGUGGAUUUCACGCUUGAUGCCUUAUCCUAAGCUAGUCGAGUUUAUCUCACUCGCUCAUGUUGGUCUUAAACUAAAACCUAAGAGACCUAAUGCACUUGUAAAUAUUUCAAUGUGCAAAUCCUAGCAAGAUACCCCCACAUACAAGCCACCAUUCUAACAGUCAACAGAAAUUUUUGGCAUGCAGUUUAACGACACUAUAUAUACUUGUGUAAAACUAAUGCACAUAGUGCGCACCAAAAAUUGAGCGUAAGCGUAGCGUAAACGGGGCUUUAUACCCCAAAACUGUGAAUGGCACUUUAUACUUGCCUUUCAUUGCAAC
rnacentral:lncRNA from 1 species